ensembl:lncRNA
UGUCUUUCUGAGCAGAAUAGUGGAACCGGGCUUUGUCAGUGAAAUUUUAGCAUUUACGUGGACUGUUACUUCGAACUAAUUAGCAGAUUUUUGUCAUAGCUGAUGAUGUUUCCACUCAUGGCAGCGACAUCUCUGUGAUGAUGCUUCUGCUUGGAUGACCUUUCAAAAUCCGGCAAUGACGCGCCUGGCCACAUCGAUGACAUUCCAUCACUUGUGCCCUUUAGCAAGGUAUCUGCUCACGAGACAUGUAUGGAAGUCCUGGUCAGCUGCUUGAGAGAAUGCCUGCAGGACUUCUGUACAGCUGCUGAGGACCCUCAGACACAGCAGGACAGGAAGGAUGCAUGCCGAGAGAGAUGGCAACACACACAGAGACACACACAGCAGCGCCAGCAUUUUGCUACCAGAUAAACCUGCAUGAAAACACUAGCACAGCCAGGAAGGCCUGCUUUAGAGACACUUGUUCCUCACUCCCU